ACAGUGGACGCGAGCAUCUGUGGCCAAGUUUUUAAGGGCGCACGGUGGAUGCCUUGGCACUAGGA
rnacentral:rRNA from 1 species